rnacentral:rRNA from 1 species
AUGCAUGGCUCCAAGGUGCAUGUCCAUAUCGCUUCUAAAAUCCACAACCAAGUCAACAUCACCAAAAGUAUUGAACACGUUGGGCGUAGUCAAGAAGGUCCGGUUCCAACAUGGCCCUUCUUGCCUUACAAUGAUAUUGUCGUUAACAAAGAUAUUGGCAUGUGCUCGUCCUUGGUGUGGGAUCAUUGUCAACUUUAUCCUUUGGGUGUUCACACUGAGAUUGGUGAAGGAAGCCACCAUUUAGAGAGUAUGAAUGACCCUGUAAUGUUCUUGCAUGGUUCUGCCAUAGGGGAUAAAGUGCAAUCGUUGCAUGUGCAUGACAAUGUCUCGGUCACAACUAUCAUUCCAGAGUUAUCACUACAUUGGAACAGUCUAGAAUGGUGUCAUGUUGAGAGAUGCCCUAAGAUGCACAAUGUCUUCUCUCAUUCACUUGGAAUUAAUACCUUUAACUCAAUAAGGAUAUUUUCUGCAUGUGAUCUCCUUAUGGCCCAUUGCAUCUGGAGUAGACACAUUGGACAUCACUGUGGGCUACAACACAUAUACUUGCACAACUGUCCUAGGCUGGUGUUUGUGCUCCCCAUUUCCUCCACCUUGCCAAACUUGGAGACAAUUCAGAUUGCAUACUGUCGUAACAUCCAACAUAUUUUCCCACUAUAUCAAAACCAUCGCCGUAUAGCAUGUGGUGUCACAUUCAAGAAGCUUCGGCACAUCAAGCUAUAUCAUCUCCACAAGCUAGAGCAAAUAUGCGAGGUUAGACUGUUUGCGCCAGCGUUGGAGACGGUCAACCUCAGGGACUGCUGGGGCCUAAGACGGCUACCAGCCGUGUCACGUGAAGGUCCCAAGCCGGUACUGGACUGCGAGAAGGACUGGUGGGAUAGGUUCGAGCGGGACGGCUCCAAGGCCAACCAUGAGCCGUCACUCUUCGAAACACGCCACUAG